rnacentral:rRNA from 1 species
UACGUAGGGGGCUAGCGUUGUCCGGAUUCAUUGGGCGUAAAGAGCGUGUAGGCGGCCAGGUAGGUCGGUUGUGAAAACUGGAGGCUCAACCUUCAGAGGUCGACCGAAACCAUCUGGCUAGAGUCCGGGAGAGGAGAGUGGAAUUCCUGGUGUAGUGGUGAAAUACGUAGAGAUUGGGAAGAACACCAGUGGCGAAGGCGGCUAUCUGGACGGUUUCUGACGCUAAGACGCGAAAGCGUGGGGAGCAAACAGG